AGCCGUGUGUUAAGCAUAGAACUAACUAUUCUUUUGCCUUUUAUUAAAGAAUAUCAUGAGCUCUCUACAUCAAGCGGCAUAUGCCUAUUUUUGGAAGGGUAUUCCUCGUUGAAUACC